ensembl:lncRNA
CCCCAUAAAAAUGGACAAACAACGACCAGUUUCCAAAUGUUUUUUUUAUUGAAAAGUUUCAAACAACUAAAACAAAACAUGAAUAAAUAUAUAUAACAAAAACACGGAACAUGAAUAAAUAUAUAGAACUAAAACACAACAUGAAUAAAUAUAUAGAACUAAAACUAAAACAAAACAGGUGAGUCUGUCUCUUCAGGUGAGCAGACUCACCUGGCCGGACUUCUCUCUCCUCUGACAACACACUGUUGUUCUUCUUCUUGGCUUUCUUUGGGGUAGCCUUCUCGCCACCUUAUCCGAAGAAAUCAGAUGCUUGGGGACCCGGGGAGGCCCAUCUCCCCCCAAGCAUAGAGGAGGGACGACAACACCUAUGAG